rnacentral:rRNA from 1 species
UACGUAGGGGGCAAGCGUUGUCCGGAAUCAUUGGGCGUAAAGCGCGUGUAGGCGGCCCGGUAAGUCCGCUGUGAAAGUCCAGGGCUCAACCCUGGGAUGCCGGUGGAUACUGUCGGGCUCGAGUCCGGAAGAGGCGGAGUGGAAUUCCUGGUGUAGCGGUGAAAUGCGCAGAUAUCGGGAGGAACACCAGUAGCGAAGGCGGCACUCUGGGCCGUGACUGACGCUGAGGAGCGAAAGCGUGGGGAG